UAGGACUAACCAGUGUUUCUAGCUGUAGACAUAACUAUAUAUCGAAAAAGAAAUCCUUUUAUACACUUAACAAAUAGGGGGAAAACUUUGCCUUAAUUUUUUUUGUAAAGGUUCAAUUAAGUAUACAAGAAAUCAAUCUGGUUUGGCGAAAAAAGAAGCAGAUAAAGAAAAACCUUAAAUCUACCUCUUGUCGAAUCUGCAUGCGCUCCAGCAACUUGAUCACAUCCAGACCGACCUUGUACGCGUACACCUUGCACUCCACAAGACCUACCAUGGUGGAUGCGAUGGUGAUCUGGUUGCCCAGCUUCGCGAGUUGCCGCACAACGAACUUGCCCAUGUACCACGUGUUUCCUUGAAGAGCGUCGACAAGCGAGCAACGAUGGCAGCCUCACCGCUAGCGAAGAUGCUGAGGGUGGAAUUGCAAACUCAGUCACCGGCACACCACCAGGGAUAACUGAGCAGUGCGACAACAGUGGCUAUCCCGGUGGCGGCGGUGAGGGUGGGAUC
rnacentral:lncRNA from 1 species